rnacentral:rRNA from 1 species
AUGCCACACGUGAACGCCAAGGUGUCGGCGGUGGCGGCGACGGGGAUGUCCGCCGUGCCUGCGGCCGCGGCGCCGCCGUCGCCGAGGAGGUGGGAGGGGGUGGACCCGGCGCUGGAGAGGAUGGUGCUGCGCGCGUGCCUGGACCAGGCCCCCGAGCGCCGCCGCGUGCGCGAGGCCUUCAAGGACGUGCAGCUCAGCAUUGACCACUGCCUCUUCAAGGCACAAUACAGUGACAUUGGAACAAAAGAGUCAUAUGAGCGGAACUCCAGAGGUGUGGAGAUAUUCUCAAAAUGUUGGUUUCCGGAGAACCAUCGUAUGAAAGCAAUUGUUUGUCUCUGCCAUGGUUAUGGAGACACCUGUACCUUUUUCCUUGAUGGGAUUGCUAGGAAGAUUGCUUCGGCUGGAUAUGGAGUAUUUGCAUUGGACUACCCUGGUUUUGGUCUUUCUGAAGGACUUCAUGGAUAUAUUCCAAGUUUUGAUACUCUUGUUGACGAUGUUGCUGAACAUUUUGCUAAGAUCAAAGGGAAUCCUGAAUACAGAGAUCUCCCAAGCUUUCUGUUUGGCCAAUCUAUGGGUGGUGCAGUUGCAUUGAAGAUUCACUUUAAGCAACCGAAAGACUGGAAUGGUGCAAUUCUAGUUGCACCUAUGUGCAAGAUUUCAGAUGACGUGGUACCAGCUUGGCCUGUUCAGCAAGUUCUGAUUUUCAUGGCUAAACUUCUUCCAAAAGAGAAGCUUGUUCCACAGAAAGACUUGGCAGAAUUGGCAUUCAGAGAGAAAGAAAAACAAGAGCAGUGUUCUUACAAUGUGAUUGCCUACAAGGAUAAACCACGUCUCCGAACAGCUCUGGAGAUGCUGAGGACCACACAAGAGAUAGAAAGUCGCCUACAAGAAGUUUCCCUGCCCAUAAUCAUUCUGCAUGGUGAGGCUGAUUUGGUCACCGACCCAGGCGUGAGCAAAGAUCUGUAUGAAAAAGCGAAGACAUCGGACAAGACGCUGCGACUUUACAAAGACGGCUACCAUGCCAUCUUGGAAGGUGAACCGGACGAGGGGAUCUUCAAAGUUCUCGACGAUAUAAUCUCCUGGCUGGAUCAGCAUUCUGCAAAGGAGAUACCGUCGUCGUGA